UGCCUUUUCAUUUCAACUCAGAAGUGAUUC
rnacentral:piRNA from 2 species